CAGUCGCCGCGGUAAUACAGAGGGUGCAAGCGUUAAUCGGAUUUACUGGGCGUAAAGGGCGCGUAGGUGGUUAUUUAAGUGAGAUGUGAAAGCCCCGGGCUUAACCUGGGAACUGCAUCUUAUACUGGGUAACUGGAGUGCAGUAGAGGGUAGUGGAAUUUCCGGUGUAGCGGUGAAAUGCGUAGAUAUCGGAAGGAACACCAGUGGCGAAGGCGGCUACCUGGACUGAGACUGACACUGAGGCGCGAGAGCGUGGGGAGCAAACAGGAUUAGAUACCCGUGUAGUCCCUGUCUCUUAUAC
rnacentral:rRNA from 1 species